UACGUAGGUGGCAAGCGUUGUCCGGAUUUACUGGGCGUAAAGAGCGCGCAGGCGGUCGUUCAAGUCGAGUGUGAAAGCCCCCCGGCUCAACUGGGGAGGGUCACUCGAUACUGAUCGACUCGAAGGCAGAAGAGGGAAGCGGAAUUCCCGGUGUAGUGGUGAAAAUGCGUAGAUAUCGGGAGGAACACCAGUGGCGAAGGCGGCUUUCUGGUCUGCUCUUGACGCUGAGGCGCGAAAGCUAGGGUAGCAAACGGGG
rnacentral:rRNA from 1 species